UAUCUGUCUUCAUUCAUGUAGAAGAUUGAUGCCUCAUUCACUUCACAACUUUUCACAUUUUCUCUUCCUCUGGUCUUUACACUUUCAAUAAACCUCUUCGAUUUGGUGAAAAUGGACUCUCUGAAAUGGCAUGAUUGGGAUUGAACAUGCUGGUAAAAGUCUAAUUCAUGAUAGAGCUUAUUUCGUUACUUUUCCUUUGAAGUGUCAAAUGUGUUGUAUUUCGACCUUUCAAAGGUGAGAUUCGGGGAACGACAAUUAGCAUGGUUAACGAGUUCUGUUGUUCACUUAUUGAAAACCCCUACCACGACUUCUUUGGCUCCACAUCCAACCAAUUUCAUAGCUGGAGAUGAACAACUUCUAUUGAUGUUACUCUUGAAAUUUUGAGUUCGUCCGACGCUUUGGGGCCACAGAGAUUUCUUGAAACACAAGUGCAAGGUAAGCCUUUUCCUGAAAUAUCAGUAUACAGUUUUAUGUGAGAUGGUGAAAUUUCUUUGUAACAAAUGCUAUCUACAAUGGUCAGGGGAUCAACUUGUCUAAGUGAAAUUAAAGUAGCUAUUCAAACGACAUUCUUGCCUUUCUCUUUGUUGAAGAGUCAAAAGUUGUUUUAAUUCCAAGCUAUCUUAUUGCUUUUAAAUUGAUGUAUAGAAUGCUAUUCCUUGAUCUCCAUAUGAGAUGUUUUAUGUCAUACCAAAAAAGUAUGAUUGCAUCAAGAUUUUUUUACGUUUGUAAAAAAAGCAUUCGUAGAGCCAUGCAAAGAGCAGCAAAUGCGAAUUGCUUUAACGGAGGUGUCUGAUUAAGUCAUUUGAAUGAUUUGACCCGGCAUCACUUUCAGUUUUCGUAGGCACGUAUAGAACAAACGUAGAGAUAAGGUUGAAUUUUGAAUACACUCUAAAUAGAAAGACUUUAUAUAAGCCAAGUAGCCAACAACUAGACAUCUGCCAUAAUACGCAGCUUGAGUUUGAUUACCUUUAAGGCUUACGAGUAUGGUAACUAAAGAAUUUGCACAAAAAUAGGUUGAAGAAGCCACGUCUAAUGUGUCAAAUUUUUUGCAUAUUAUCUAAAUUGCUCUGCUUUUAAUUUCUACCAACUAAGUUGCAAAAAUUAAUUCCAUUAGUUGUUCGACCUACUUUUGUUCCUAGCAGAGCUUCUUGAAGUUGUAUUGAUAAUGUUGGUAUAGGAAUAAAAUAAAGUUCCUUCUUUCUGUUCCAUUUAUGUAUCUAACUAAUCACUAAAUAUUGAGUUGCAUUUGUAGACAAUAAUCAAAUUGUCGUGGGUAUAGUUUAGUGGUAAAAGUAUGAUUCGUUCUAUUAUUUCUUAAAUAGUUCCUUUCUUUCUGCUCCAUUUAAGUAUCUAAUUAAUCGCUAAAUAUUGAUCUUACGCUAAUGUUUGAUUAGACAAUUGUUUACUUUAGUGUAUCAUGUUAUUGAAAAAUAAUUUGUAUUUAUUUUCUUUUCUUUUUGAGUGCAUGAUGCAUCUGAGACUUAUAUUUUUCAGCUGAAACAAUACACAGCCUUAUGGCUCUGUUUGCUGACAAAUAAAUCAUUUUAGCAACUGUCAAUAAUGAGCAAUCAAAAUCACGAAUUUAGUUGCAAAUUUAUGUGCUUAAGCUGGUAAAGAAAGUAAAAAAUGACUACCUAGAAUUAUUAUUAGGGAAUUGCAUAUGUUGUUGUUGUAAUUGCAUAUGUAGGUCAACAGUUGAAUAUUCUUACUUUCGACAUAGGUGUUAGUCCUUUAGAAGUGGCUCUGUAUCCUUUUGAAAUAUUCAAGCAUGUAGUUUAAUUCCAGCAUGCACCGAGUUAGGAUGAACUUUCUUUAUUGAGGUCGCAAGUCUUUUUUUUUAUUAGUAAGUUGUUUUGUCUUAAUUCAGAUCAUCUUAUCAUCUUAUUAGUCUACUGAUAAUGAUGUGUACUGCUGUAGUGCUCAUGACCAGGAUAUUACUGACAUCGAUAUGGUUUAUUCAACUCUAAUUUUAUCAAACAUUUAGUACUUUCCAAACUGAACAGUUCGCUAGGCGAGGUCUUUUAUUAAAGAUAUGUAAAAUGUCUACAUUAAGGGAUUUGUAGAUGAGCUAUUUGAUAGGUGAGGGAUGACCUUCAUACUUCCUAGGUAAAAACUAUAAGAAGUUUCUGUGGGUACGUAAUUUUACUUAAUGGAUGGACAGGAAAUUUCGUUGAUUCGGAUAUUAAAGUUAUAAUGUAUGGAAAGAGGCUAAUGAAUAAUUACUGAUUUCACAGGAACAUUGGUAUAAUAUUCUUGAGGAAUGACAACGGGAAAGCAGGAUCAUAGCUUAAGGAAACAAUUUUAUCAGAUAAAUGAAUUUAGUUGAUGUUGAGGUAUUAUACUAUUCUAUUCUAUUCUAUUUUUGAGCUCGUAAUUUAGUGAUUUCUACUAUGGGAGUAAUGUGUUACCUAUGAUGUUCAUAAGUUUUAUGCUUUGAAAUGCAUAUUGUGGUAAGUAGACUAAAAAGGAGGCUGAUUUAACUUAAUGGAUUGCUGAUAGCAGGAUUUAGGAGUACCAUUCGUGCAGUUGCAAGUCAGUUGUGAAUAGUUAAACAUACUUUUAGAUUGAGUUAGAUGAAUGUGCAACUCUCAAAAGACCUGCUUUACAACGAGGAGGAAUGCAAGUCUAUGAAGAAUUAAACCGAAAAGCAUUUGGAAGAAGACCAGUCUACAUUGCAAGGGGUUUGUGGAAUGGGAUAUUUUUUAAGGGAACUCUACUACGGGCAUAAAUGACACAAUUGGCUCAAGGAUGCUAAGAAGGAUGUUGGAGCCUCUUGUGGACCCACAUAAGAUAGCAUAUGGCGCUUGGAAGAUAGCUUGGGAAGAGAUGGAGAAGGCUACUACACAAAGUGGCUAGAAGUGCAAAUUAUGGCUAAAGGUUGCAAUUCAUGGCUAAGGAUGCAAUUCAAGGCUAAGAAUGCAAUUUGAGGCUAUAAUUGCAAGUCAAUUGGACAUGUGGAAUGAAGGCCUCAUGUGGGGGUUAUUUGCGCAAAGUGCCACUUUCGCCUUUGUUGU